UUCUCUUUUUCAAUUCCUCCUUCAUCAAUGGUCUCACAUUCCUUUUCGAAUUCUCUUUCAAUUUCCUUAUCUCUGGGACUACCUAAGUUUUUCCCAUCGGACUCCCCACUAGAGCUCAAUUUUAAUGCUAAUUUGCUAGCUACUAGACCAAGCUGCAUAUCUAAGUUCUCGAAGGAUGUUUCCAUGUUACUUCACACGGUUUCUUGAUACCUGUUGAUUUUCUUGAAAUUGAGUUUAGUCAUCUUUAUAAACUGAGUCAAGG
rnacentral:lncRNA from 1 species